GGCCAAUGGAAUGGAAGGAUUUUGAGCGGCAAAAGAGAAGUGGAUUACUGAGAGGAUGGAGCAAGCCUUCAGACUAUCCAAGGUGUGGUUUCUCCUUGAAGUCCAGCUGAAGAAGUCACCACCCUGCUCAGUCAUCUGCUGCCUGUCUUCCCAGUUCCCUGGCAAUCACCAGAGCUUGCACAACCCGAGUGAACUGUUGGCAUCUUAAUCCCUGCUUCAGCCUCUAUUUUCUGGAGAACCCAGGUAUUUAAAGAGGAAUCAGCAGAGACGAUUGAACUGAAGAGCUAUCAGAAAGGUCAGAGAAAACUGGGAUACCUAUUUGUAGCAAGUGAAAAUAUUUCAAGGAGGAAAAAUUAACGCACUGGGUCAAAUGCUACAGAGAGGCCGAGGAAGAUGAGGACUUGAAGUUGGUGAUCAUGAAUUUAAAGUGAGGACCCUUGGGAUACACUGGGCCUACCAGAUAAUGCAAGAUUAUCUUCCAUUCUCAAGAUCCUUAAUCACAUCUAUGAAGUCCCUUUUGAUCACGUAAGGUAACAUAUUCACAGGGUCUGGGGAUCAGGACAUCUUUGGAGGCCAUUAUUCUAUCUACCAUACAGGAUGUCACAGCUUGUGACACAUUAAUACAAAUGAGACUUCUAAACCCCUGAUACUUGUGGAGAUAAUUCUUUCACCUGCCCUCCUCCCAGAAGAUGGUGUCUGGGUCUAGAAUUCUAGAUCCUUCUACUGAGACUAGAUGUAACUUUUCUGAGGGAAAUUGGAGUUCUUUUUUUAAAAGUGUC
rnacentral:lncRNA from 1 species